UGCCAUUUGUGGUAACAAAGGCUGUGGCUCUGAGAAACAGGCCAAGGAUUGAGUGACUCCAGCUGGUAUGUCAAGGGCAUCUUCAACAUCCAGCUGUUAUCUGUCUUACAUCAGCAGUGGAUGCAUCCUCAAGUGUGAAGGAGGGACAAGACUACUACAAGAUUUAAAAAAAACUCAGAAAACCAAAUCAUAUUAAUCAUUGUUAUACUUCCUUUGAGGAGUACAAAAUGAAACAUCUGUGAUUUCUGAGACACUUAUAAUUUGGAUCAAUGAGGAAAGAGAGAGGAAUGAUACUUGAGCUUACAAUCAAUGACAGAGACUGUAAUUAGCUGGUAGGUAACCUUAUCUGAUGGAAGAUCCUAUUGAACAGCUAAGAAAUCAGAUUUGCCUCACAUUAGGAUCAGGCUGACAAUAGGUGAGUUUCAUUCUUUUACACUAUAACUUAAGUACAUAGAUUUCUAACAAAAGCCAUCUUAUGAAGACUCAUAAGUAAUAAUUUGAAAGAUCUAAGAGAAUUCAGGUUAAUUAAUGUAACUGUUCAGGUUAAUAUAACUGUUCAGGACAAGGGCUCUGUCCAAAUGAAUCUUACCACCUUUAUUUGUAACUGAAUCCACAAAUAAAGGUGUUAGAGUAUCCAAUCACAUCAUUACUUCCUUCUCAAAAUCAGACAAAUAGGAAUGAAUGAAACAGAAGCUAACAUGUCAGAGAAAGAACAGAAAAAAAUUGAGAAGUCAUGAAGAUCUGUCUUGCAGAAAAAGAGGGAGUUAAGAGCUUCAAGGCAAGUCUUGAGAUUUACAGGUGUUGAGCUCACUAUGAGCUCACCUAUCACUUAGGUCUCUCAGAAAACAUAGAUAUGAACAACAGAGGAAGGUCUGACAUUUCUUUUUUUGUAAUGCCCUUCCCUUGUGCCUGUCUCCUUCUGCAUGUGAAAAACAUAUUGACUCCUCAGAGACAUCUAGUAAUGGCUUUUUUCCAGAACAUAUCCAGUCACUUCUUAGUUAAGGAGGCUAAUCCUGCUCCUGCUGUUUAUUUUCACCCUCAGCACGAAUAGGGGCUCUUGUUGAGAGACGCUAACAAGCGCGUGUCAUUUGCUGUGCCCAAAGCUAAGGCUUCCCCACCCUCCUGCCUCUGUUUCACACUGAAUUCAACCAGACUGCUAUUACCUGUGCUCAACAACAGAAAUGUUGGGAUCACCUGAUACUGCUAACAGUUUCACUUCCAUGUAACUUCAGUCACUCCUUGUCAAGGAAAAAGUUUGGGCAUUCAAGUGAAGGCUGAAUAGCUGCAGUAAACUGGAAAAAUGUGCCAACUUUCUUCUGCAAAGCUUUUUCUAUUUCAAAAGAAAUCUUACAGCCACCAAGGCAGACAACUUUACUGAAAGACACCUGCAGAGAUGAGUCAAUUAACUUCAUGCUCUUUCCAGAAAGCUUCAAUACCCAUUACCCAGCUUGGUAAGAAUUUAUUCUUCUUCCUAACUGGAAAAGCAAAAGCAAAGCUGAGGGGUAGCAUGGCUCAUGAAAACUAUUACACUUGAUGCCUUUAAAAUGAGCAAAUGUUAUUUGAACUCUGAACACCCUCUCUCAAUUUCCAAAUUCCUCUCAUUAUUAAAUGCACUUUUUCUCAAUACCCCAUAUUACAGGAACUUUGAAAAGCUUCAGUCACAAAAGAGUACACACUUAGCUAUUUAACAUUAAGGUAUUCUUGCUUUAAAUUAAAAAAUAUGUACUUUCUUAAAUACUUUAAUGUAGGUCUGCAUAUAUCUUGUAUGUAUUUGUCUCUUGACUAACAGAGAACUGCAGAUCCUCUCUUCAGCAGAAAGAAUGUAACAGAGAAACACAAUUUGUUUAAUGUACACUAUGUUUAGGCUACUCAGUUAGAAACUAAAGCAAACAUUCUUCAUCUCUUAAUGUGACAGUGUGAAAAACUUCAGUUGAGGAGGGGACAACAGCAACGAAACCCAAACUUCAUACCCUUCAAGUCUACACUUCAGAAGAGUCUUAGAGCUACAAUCUCAAACUGCAGUGUUAGCUGGCAAGGUGGGCUCAGCCAACUCCAACCAACAUCUACAGAGAAGAUUGAGCAUUUCCACUCUAACCACAGCAAGAACAACACAUAUUACUACAAGGAAAAUACUGCAGUUCCUUGGUGAGAGUUAAUCCACCAGAACAACAUUUUGCAUUCAGGGAGAACCAGAAAAUACUAGCAAGUGCUCUAAAGACCAGCCUCCCUACCUCCAACAACCCUGUUUUCAGCAAGAAAAAAAACAUCCAAACAGACACUACAGCCAAGCCAAGAAAUGGAGCUGCUGCAGGAACAAGAAAAUAUGGAGAAUCCAGAGCAGGCUGACAGCCUGCUCUUCCAAACAGCCUGGAAGAAUUAGCAGAUUUUGGAAAGAAGAGUUAUAAGUAUCAAGGACUAUACCUCAGCCUAGUCUGUCCUCAUUUAUCAUCCUCAUUCAUAUUUUCAAGUGUUAGUGUGAAACUGAGAAGGCUCUGCAAUUAGAUGACUAAUAAACGAAAAAUUAGUGAGCACUGCCAACUGCCAAGAUGAGAGGCUUGAGUUUGAAGUUCAAACAAUGCAAAGAUUAGGGUAAAAUUUACAUAAUCCUUUAGCCUAAGGAUGGAGCUUGUUAUUGAGGUGUUCUUAACCACUCUGUUCAGCUUCUGAACACAAGAGCAUUUUAUCAGUUCUGCACAAAUAAAUGUCGCUUUUCAGGCUUUCAAUCUCAGGACACAAGCAGAAACUGGAGCCAGUAAGAACAUUUUGAUCCUAGUAAACUGGCAAAAGAAAUUGCUCCUAGUAAAAAAAAAUAUCACUGGCCUCUAAAAAAUUACAGUGAUUUCCUCCAUCAAGUGACUCACAGCAACCCAACUAUUUAAAAUUCCCUUGAAAUCUUUUGUUUCUCCUCUCAGAUUUUUAUAUGCAACGCAUGAUGCAAAGUUUAAAAUGAUCCAACAACCACAGAUAUUGAAAAAUGUUCAUAAGCAAAUACUCAUAGUUGGAAACAGGUAGACAGCAGGUUUAAAUGUAGCACUGAAAAAAUAUAAGUCUUCAAUAUACUUCCAUCUCUUUUCUAACAAAAACCUCCUUAAUUAGCCAAAAGGUAAUUUUAGUAUGUGUAACAACUGAUGAGUAUAAUUUACAUACAGAAGUACUGUAACCUCAGUUCAAAAUAGAGCCAUUCAGAGAACUUAAGUAGCUUUUAGAAACAGGAGUUUCAGCAUUUCAGUGUAGCAAAAGAACCUCUAACUUCCUUGUAAUUUAAACUUUUCGCAUUCACAAAUUACUGAACUGUAAGUUACUCAUGAACCCACAGCCAAAUAAUUAUUUCUUGAAAGAACACGUCAAAAGGGAAAGGUGACCAUCAUGCCAACCUUGGAUCCUCUGCAAGGCCUGUCAACAGGGUAACAGAAAAAGCCAGUAUCAGUAAUAAAUGUGAGACAGCAACUCUCAGCCACCACUAUGAACAAGCAAGAAUCUGAUUUAUAAAGAGUCAACAUCUGUUGAGUAACCCUGUGACACUUCCAACCACAGCACACACAUCAGAAUAUCCCUUGCCAGAAAAAGCUUUAAAAAGGAACAAGAAAAGUUCUCAAAAACAUAAACAAAAUAAGGGUGCAAGAGAGCAAGUAAGAAACAGAUGAUGCUCAGCACAAGGUGUUUAGGCAAUUACACACACCUGAAGGCAAAGUCUCUACAUGGAUUUCCUUGCAAAUCAAGUAUCAAGUUACAAAUAUAUAAGUAUCUCAUAUCCAUAAGGGAAUCUGUCUUUUGGGUAGAGUCCUUUUCAUUCAUUACAAGAGAUGAAACAUGAAUGCUUGAUUUUUUUAUAAGAUCUAAUAAAGCAAAGAUCAUUGUGCCAUAGUCCUUCCUCAAGAUGUGUCUGUUUAUUUCUCUAUAGACUCAGUCC